GCCCUCGUAGUUCAAUGGAUAGAACAGCGCACUCCUAACGCGCGGAUGGAGGUUCGAUUCCCCCCGAGGGCA
rnacentral:tRNA from 1 species